rnacentral:lncRNA from 1 species
GUUGUUCCCAUGUGCUGCAGGCGGAAACUUCUCUGAUGAUGGCUGAGCACUGAUCUCUGGCUAUAAUGGAAAGUCACUAGUUCUUCACCUCUGGAGGAUGAAUCCGUCAUCUCCACUAAUUUACUGGUAUGAGACUCCCACCAUGUUUUUGAACACACUCUGUGCCCGUGAACAUGCCCCUUAGACCAUUCUUCAUCGUCUUCCCAUACUUGAAAAUCAACAGAAGAUAUGGUGGAGAAGAUCAGCAGAUAACAUACUUCGAGUGCAAUCAUGAGGACCAAAGGCCAAAGCCUCAGGACCCAUGUAAAAUUGAUCAUUUAAAAGGCUCUGCUCUGCAAUCAUCAAGGCGAAGACAUUUCGCUUAUUGUCUAAGAAGGAACGCUUGGGCUCGGGUGAUGUUCAGUCACAAGCAGAAAGACCUGUGUGAGUCUUCAGCACUGCAUGAAAAGCUUGGACCAGUGAUCUAUGCUUAUAAUCCCAGAACUGGGGAGGCAGAGACAGCAAGGUCCCUGCCCACUGGCCAGCCA